GCUGGCGGUGCGCCUUAUGCAUGCAAGUCGAGCGAAGCUUUUCAGUAGUUUACUACUGAAAAUGACUGAGCGGCGAACGGGUGAGUAACGCGUGAGCAACCUACCUUAGUUACUGGGAUAGCCCGAGGAAACUCGGAUUAAUACCGGAUAUUCUUAUUUAAUCGCAUGAUUUUUUAAGGAAAGGUCAGCCGAACUAAGAUGGGCUCGCGUUCUAUCAGCUAGUUGGUAGGGUAAUAGCCUACCAAGGCUACGACGGAUAGCUGGUCUGAGAGGACGAUCAGCCACACUGGGACUGAGACACGGCCCAGACUCCUACGGGAGGCUGCAGCAGGGAAUAUUGCGCAAUGAGCGAAAGCUUGACGCAGCGACACCGCGUGUGGGAUGACGGAUCUAGGUUUGUAAACCACUUUCAGGAGGGAAGAAAAUGACGGUACCUCCACAAGAAGCCCCGGCCAACUACGUGCCAGCAGCCGCGGUAAUACGUAGGGGGCGAGCGUUGUCCGGAUUUAUUGGGCGUAAAGAGCUCGUAGGCGGUUCAACAAGUCGGUCGUGAAAGUUCAGGGCUCAACCCUGAAAUGUCGAUCGAUACUGUUGUGACUAGGAUACGGUAGAGGUGAGUGGAAUUCCGAGUGUAGCGGUGAAAUGCGUAGAUAUUCGGAGGAACACCAAUUGCGAAGGCAGCUCACUGGGCCGCUAUCGACGCUGAGGAGCGAAAGCUAGGGGAGCAAACAGGAUUAGAUACCCUGGUAGUCCUAGCUGUAAACGAUGGAUACUAGACGUAGGAAUUGGAUUAACGAUUUCUGUGUCGUAGCUAACGCGUUAAGUAUCCCGCC
rnacentral:rRNA from 1 species